rnacentral:rRNA from 1 species
AUUGAACGCUGGCGGCAUGCCUUACACAUGCAAGUCGAACGGUAACGCGGGGCAACCUGGCGACGAGUGGCGAACGGGUGAGUAAUGCAUCGGAACGUGCCCAGUUGUGGGGGAUAACUGCUCGAAAGAGCAGCUAAUACCGCAUACGACCUGAGGGUGAAAGCGGGGGAUCGCAAGACCUCGCGCAAUUGGAGCGGCCGAUGUCGGAUUAGCUAGUUGGUGGGGUAAAGGCCCACCACGGCGACGAUCCGUAGCUGGUCUGAGAGGACGACCAGCCAAACUGGGACUGAGACACGGCCCAGACUCCUACGGGAGGCAGCAGUGGGGAAGUUUGGACAAUGGACGAAAGUCUGAUCCAGCCAUGCCGCGUGCGGGAAGAAGGCCUUCGGGUUGUAAACCGCUUUUGUCAGGGAAGAAAUCUUCUGGGUUAAUACCUCGGGAGGAUGACGGUACCUGAAGAAUAAGCACCGGCUAACUACGUGCCAGCAGCCGCCGUAAUAC